AUUGAACGCUGGCGGCAGGCCUAACACAUGCAAGUCGAACGAGUGGCGGACGGGUGAGUAAUGUCUGGGAAACUGCCUGAUGGAGGGGGAUAACUACUGGAAACGGUAGCUAAUACCGCAUACCCUCAGAUGUGCCCAGAUGGGCUUAUCUAGUUGGAGGGGUAACGGCUCACCAAGGCAACGAUCCCUAGCUGGUCUGAGAGGAUGACCAGCCACCCUGGAAAUGGAACACGUUCCAUACUCCGACGGGAGGCAGCAGUGGGGAAUAUUGCACAAUGGGCGCAAGCCUGAUGCAGCCAUGCCGCGUGUAUGAAGAAGGCUUUCGGGUUGGAAAGUACUUUCAGCGGGGAGGCGUUACCCGCAGAAGAAGCACCGGCUAACUCCGUGCCAGCAGCCGCGGUAAUUC
rnacentral:rRNA from 1 species